rnacentral:rRNA from 1 species
AUCUUUUAUGUGAGAGAAACAAAAAAGAGAAAAUUUCAUAUGGAAAGUUAGUUGUAUUGCACAGAUUUUAAAACAAUAUUGGACAGCCAAGAUACCAGGAUCGGGGUGCAGGUGUUCUAAAAAUCCACGUCCUGUAUAUAAGUGGGUUUCCCACAUUGCAAUGGAACUAGUGGAUCAUUUGGAGUCUUCAUUUGUUCCUUUACUUUCACUCUACAACACGUUAUCAGCACCUAGACUCUACCAAAAGAGUAACGCACAGGGAAAAAUAAUCCGGCGCGCAACGCGUGGAGACAUGUCGUACUGCGGGCUUCAGCCAUGAAGAGGAAGCGCCCAGCGGGCGUGGCGCGGUCCAGCGCGGCUCCCAAAAGCACGGCCGGCUCACGCACGGCGGAGGCAGCAAAGACGGACAUGCAUCUGCAUGCAUCCCUACAGGACACGGAAAAAUAGAUCAAUCGUCUUGAAGAGAAACGGCGGCUGGCGGCAGACCGGCACGAGGCGGCGCCCAUCCCGGCGUGGAGGCGCGAGAUGCUACGUCGCCGGCGGCGCUAAACAGCAAUCACGCGAUCCACAAGCAAUCGACUGACGCCAAACUUCUCUCUGAGAAAGAUCGAAGGAAUCGAUCUUAAUGGAUCUGAAUGCAUGUCUCGUUGGUUUGUUCUUGUUUUGGUUAAACAAAUACUAUAUGCUAAUCAAUUCUGUUGUGACUUCCGCAUGCAUCCAUUGUGACAAGAUCAACAGACCCAACUACGGCCACUACAUCGCGAUCGGCGACAUCAAACCAGCGACCUGCAACCGCAGCAUCCUGAUGUGGUUCUCCGCAUGCCGUCGGCGCAGCCGACUGGCGCGAUGCGCGGUGCGGCUUCAUCCAGCGCGACGGGACGGCCACGCCCUCCAGAACGGCAGCGAGGCUGGCUGUGGCAGAACGACCAGGGCAAAGACAUGCAUCCAUCGCAUGCAUGCAUCAGGAAAUCGAUUAGCAAAUACUACAAAUUUGAUGUCUUGUGAUUAAGAUUAACCAUCUAAUUUGCGUGUAGGCGAAUACUGGCAGCCAACGGUUUCCCUUGAGAUUGCCAUGUACGGCGCAAGGCAUGACGCUCUGGAAGUCGGGGUCCGUCUGCAGUGCCCAGUGGUGAGCGAUCUGGCGGCAGCCUCCUCGCGGCGGCCAACGGCGGACACCCCGUCUGGCGGUGCCCUCUGGUCCGGCGUGGCCUCGACCCCAGGGCGACCAUCUCGUUUACGGUAAAGCGCUCCGGCGCGGCUGAAAAUUUCCGAAAGGCAACGGUGGCUAUUCCUGUCAGGGAAUUGGUAACCGCACAGCAGAAGAAGAGAAGAGAUAUCCUCUUUUCGGUGAUUUUGCAAAUCAGCCUUUUUAUUGUAUGGAAAUCAGGGAUAAAUCCUGACACUUUCGUUAGAAUUAUCCAACUUGCUGCUAAGCUCUCGGGCUUAUUGAAAAUUGCCCCGAGGCUUUACUAUUUUCAGCACUUUAACCACAUGGUUAUUGAUAUUUGCGUUUUAUGCCCCAGGCUUCAGAGCAAAUAUACAUGAUAGACCACAGGGUGUUGCUGAAUUGCGUAAUAAUUAAUUAUACAUCAUUUUACAUCAUGUAAAAU